rnacentral:lncRNA from 1 species
CCUACCUGCAACUCAGUGUGGAGGAUGGUUUAUUGAUAGUGAGGGGAUGGAAGGGUAGGAGCUGCCUGCCUCCCACACCCAUUGCUUGUGCUAGGGCAGCUCCAUGGCAGCUGCGUCAGGGAUGCAUGUGAGAGGCAAAUUCUCUCCUCCUGGCCCAGGAAAAGGUCAGAUGCAGUGUGUCUUUGGAAAGAGUCAGUGGGAAAUAUCUCCUGGGGGAGUCUGGUUGGCAUGUUGAUGUGGUUUCUUGUAAAGGUGGCUAUACUCUGAGACAAAACUCUUGGCUGGUCAGUUGAAAGUCCUUCACAACUAAAUGUGAUGGGAAUACCUGUGAACAGCCUGUGCUUUAAGAUUAGCAUCAAAGAUCACAAGUUGCAGAGAGAGACCACUAUCCUUCUUGGACCUCCCAAGCAAGUUGCAGGAGCCUGGGGAACAGGGCAGGGGCCUCAGCUCUCCCAGGUAAUGCAAGAGGGGGCAGAGGAUCAGAUCCCUGCCCUCUUCUCACGCCUUUUAAUUAGAUGGAAUUCAAACAAGCUAACUGAAGAGUGGGAUAAUUUCAUUUCAUAUGUUGGGGGGUGGAAACCUGCCUGUAUUUCCCAAUUCUUUAGGACAUGUGUUAAGACAACAGACAUAACAGAAGGGGCCAUGAAUGGAACAUACUGUAAAAAAAAGGUAAUUGUCUUGAUGAGAUUGCAGUUUAUAAAUAUAGCAACUCCAUCAUCCAAAAGGGAGUUUCUGUGCCAAAGCCUUAUAUGUUAGAAACAAACCUAUUUCAUCAUAAAUCAAAUAUUUCUCCAGGCAUCAUGUUUGUACAAACUGAACUUAUUUGCCAGUCA